GGGUUAGCGGCGGACGGGUGAGUAACGCGUGGGAACGUGCCCUUUUCUACGGAAUAGCCUCGGGAAACUGAGAGUAAUACCGUAUACGCCCUUUUGGGGAAAGAUUUAUCGGAGAAGGAUCGGCCCGCGUUGGAUUAGGUAGUUGGUGGGGUAAUGGCCUACCAAGCCGACGAUCCAUAGCUGGUUUGAGAGGAUGAUCAGCCACACUGGGACUGAGACACGGCCCAG
rnacentral:rRNA from 1 species